UUUGGUUGACUUCUUUGAGCAUGUUCAAAAUUGCUUUGACUUUAUGAUUUUCAUUGACUGCCUUCCACUUGUCCAAAUGAGAUGAAAUUUGACAUGCUUACCAUGCUGUGGGUUGUGAUUGAUCAUGAUUUAUUUGAUGAUUUUUGGAAAUGUUUGAGAUUGGUUUUGAUGCAAGUCUUGCUGUUGACUUCUAUGAGCUUCUAAAUGCCAUGCUUUGACCUAAAUUGUUCAUGAAAUGAUGAU
rnacentral:lncRNA from 1 species